rnacentral:rRNA from 1 species
UGGGGAAUCUUGCACAAUGGGGGCAACCCUGAUGCAGCGACGCCGCGUGAGCGAUGAAGCCCUUCGGGGCGUAAAGCUCUUUCGACCGGAACGAUAAUGACGGUACCGGGAGAAGAAGCUGCGGCUAACUACGUGCCAGCGGCCGCGGUAAUACGUAGGCAGCAAGCGUUGUUCGGAGUUACUGGGCGUAAAGAGUGCGUAGGCGGUUUUCUAAGUUCGGUGUGAAAUCUCCCGGCUUAACUGGGAGGGUGCGCCGAAGACUGGGAAGCUGGAGUGUGGGAAAGGCAGGCGGAAUUCCUGGUGUAGCGGUGAAAUGCGUAGAUAUCAGGAGGAACACCGGCGGUGUAGACGGCUUGCUAGACCAUAACUGACGCUGAGGCACGAAAGCGUGGGUAGCAAACA